GCAAACUUGGUCAUUUAGAGGAAGUAAAAGUCGUAACAAGGUUUCCGUAGGUGAACCUGCGGAAGGAUCAUUGAAAAAAACAAAUCUGCCAACGUCCUUGUGCUUUGCCGCCUCACGGUGGCGGGCACAAAGGGGUGGACCACUUGGCCUCAUCCGGAUGCUCUGCAAGACGAGAAUGUGUGCACGCAAGUGUGCUCUUGUGGCGCGGACAGCCGGGCGAGGCCAAAUGCUGGGUGCUCGAAGCGACAAGUUGCCAGUAGGAUGCUCUCCGGGGCGUCCGAAAGCAGCGGUCGGUCGACACCCUCCUAUUCAAUCUUUUCAUUUUUUUAAGCUUAAUGCGAUAUUCAUCUUUCAUACAUUUUGUUUUGCUUGGAUUCCGGCUGCGCUUGCGCACCUGAGUUUGACAUAAAUAAACAAUAUACAACUUUUAACAAUGGAUCUCUUGGCUCUCGCAUCGAUGAAGAACGCAGC
rnacentral:misc_RNA from 1 species